AUGCGUUCAUUUCGUUUAGAAGCUUAGAAGUUGCGCAGGUUUUCCCCUUCUCUGGAAUGAACUGAACCAAACGGUGUCGUUAGCGAGUGUGUGAAUGGCAGGGGGAAAGGCGAAGAAG